rnacentral:lncRNA from 1 species
AUUUUGAAAUAGUUUGCUCUAGUUCUGUGAGGAAUGCCAUUGGUAAUUUAAUAGGGAUAACUUGCAUCUGUAAAUUACUUUGGGCAGUAUAGCCAUUUUAAUGAUGUUAAUUCUUCCUAUCCAUGAGCAUGAAAUGUUUUUCCAUUUGUUUGUGUCUUCUCUGAUUUCUUUGAACAGUGUUUUGUAAUUCUCCUAGAGAUCUCUUAGAGAUCUUUCACCUCCCUGGUUAGCUGUAUUCCUAGGUAUUUAUUUUUUCUGUGUGUAGCAAUUAUGAAUGGGAUUGUGUUCUUCAUUUGACUCUCUGCUUUACUGCUAGGAAUUUUUGCACAUUGAUUUUGUAUGCUAAGACUUUGCUAAAGUUUAUCAGCAGAAGGAGCUUUGGGGCUAAGACUAUGGGGUUUUCUAGAUAUAGAAUCAUGUCAUCUGUAAACAGAGACAGUUUGACUUCCUGUCUAUUCCUCUCUUCCCUCCUCUGUUUGGAUGCCCUUCCAGUUUUGCACAUUCAGUGUAAUGUUGGCUGUGGGUUUGUCAUGGCUAGCUCUCAUCAUUUUGGCACUUCCGACUAGAAGUGCAAGAGGGGCCAGUGUUGUUGUUACCUGAAAGGUAAGUGCAGCCCACAAAAAUGCAGUGAAGAAGAAGAUAUAUGCAUAUGUUUAAGUUAAUACAAUUGAGAUACAUUUAGCAGACAGAAUCAAUAGAGUUGAUGAGUGACUGACUGGAUGUGUGGGGAGUUUAUAUCACUCCCAGGUUUUUGACUUGGGCAACUGGGCACUCAAGAAGGAAAAAGAGGAUCCAGGGAGAGGAACUUUUCUGAGGACUGGGGUAGGGCUGAACAGCUGCAUUCGAGACUGGUGGAGGGUGGGCUGGGCAUGGGAUGCACAAAUGGAGAUUCCACUGGGUCUGCAGCUCACACAUAGGCAUGACCAGCAUAGAGAUAGAGAGGCCCCAGUGCUGCUGAGUAACUGUGAUUCCCCAGGUGAUGGCAUCAGCUGAGAAGGGAAGGAAGCCUAUGUGAGGACACUGAAGAAGGAGUGAGCAGACAAUAAGAAGCCCACAGAAGACAGAGAAGGAACAACUAGAGGGAGAAGCCAAGGCAGGCAUGUGUGGUAACAUAUAGGAACUGAGGGAGAGGACAUUUCAAGAUGGAGAGGAUGCCAUACAACAGGACUAUGUGAUGGUUUUUGGCUGUGUCCAUAGGAAGUCACAACAGGCAAGGGAAAGAAACCAGAACCCAGUCAUGGAGUUAAGAAGUGAGUCAGAGAGGAGAUGGGUAGGGACAGUGAGGUAAGGCCUCUUUUUAAGGAAGUUUGGCUGAAGGAUAGACUAGCUGGACAUAUAUGCUGGCUGUGUGGGGUAGAGGGAGGAAUGAUGGAGGGUAGGAGAGCCUUGAGCCUGCGAGAAGAGUCUCCUAGAAUAGAGAAGCUGAGGUUAAAGUUGUGGAAGACAGUGGGGAUAACUGAGUGACAGAUAAUCAGGAGAAGAAAAGGAGAUCCAGAAUCAUGACAGAGAGAUGACCUUUGCCAAGAGCACAGCCAUCUUUCACUGCACAGAGAGGUAGGACAAAACGAUUGGUGUUCAAGAAUUGGUUUGUAGCACAAUAUUUUAACUAUGUCCUUUAAAAAGUUUCUCCACAGACACUACCCAAAGCAGUCCUUCACUACAGUGGCAGACAGACCUGAAAAUUUUCAUCUGAAGCAGCAGAGUGAACUGCAGAGUCAGGUCACCAACCAGUGUGGAGGCUAAAAGCGGGCCUCUUCGGGGAUUCCAGGUGGAAGUGUUGGACAUCUGUAGUAUUCCUGCAGGAACAAAGAUCACCACAACUGGCUCCCCUUCAACUAUGUUAGAUGGCAACUUGCAUUCAGUAUGGUGAAACACAUCAGUUAAGACUGGGGUUGUGCAUGGCAGGACUUUCUACAAGGACACCCAGUCUCCUUAAUAAACAUGAGAUGCUCUCUUUCCAGAAGUUCUCUUGCCUGACACAGCAUAGGAAGAUGCUGAACGGCCACACAGUGAUCCAUUGAGAUAGAAUCUCACUAUGUUGACCAGGCUGGUCUUGAACUCUUGGCACCCAAGCGAUCCUUUUGCCUGGAAUCCCAAAGUGUCAGAUUUACUGAAGAAUAUUUCAUUGUAAUUACUUUUUAUACUUUAUAGGUCAAGAGCUCUGUUUUAAAGACAAAAUUUAUUGAAUAUACUUUUUCAAACAAAGUUUCAUGUUCUAAUCAUUGUAUGAUUUCAGCAUUAAAUGAAACACAGUAAAG